AUGUCGGCCGGGCUGGGGCCGUGGCUGCUGGCCUUGGCCUUGGCCUUGUGGCCGGCAGGGCUCUGGGCACAGCUGAGACUGGAGGAGACCGGCGGAGGGCUGCGAGCGGCCGGGGACUCCGUGACCCUCUCCUGCCGCGGGUCCGGCUUCACCUUCGAGGAUUAUUAUAUUUACUGGUACCGUCAGGCACCCGGAGGCAGCCUGCAGUGGGUGUCCUUUAUUAGUUACGAUCCGACAUAUUUUUAUUUUGACCAGUCAGUGCAGAGUCGGGCCAAGAUUUCCCGGGACAAUUCGCGGUCCGAGGCUUAUCUCUCUCUGCUGACCCUGCACCCCCGCGACUCUGCCCGGUACUUCUGUGCUGUUCACACGGGGACAGGAAACCCAGCUGAGCUUUAA